AUUGAACGCUGGCGGCAGGCCUAACACAUGCAAGUCGAACGGUAACAGGAAGCAGCUUGCUGCUUCGCUGACGAGUGGCGGACGGGUGAGUAAUGUCUGGGAAACUGCCUGAUGGAGGGGGAUAACUACUGGAAACGGUAGCUAAUACCGCAUAACGUCGCAAGACCAAAGAGGGGGACCUUCGGGCCUCUUGCCAUCGGAUGGGCCCAGAUGGGAUUAGCUAGUAGGUGGGGUAACGGCUCACCUAGGCGACGAUCCCUAGCUGGUCUGAGAGGAUGACCAGCCACACUGGAACUGAGACACGGUCCAGACUCCUACGGGAGGCAGCAGUGGGGAAUAUUGCACAAUGGGCGCAAGCCUGAUGCAGCCAUGCCGCGUGUAUGAAGAAGGCCUUCGGGUUGUAAAGUACUCUCAGCGGGGAGGAAGGCGAUAAGGUUAAUAACCUUGUCGAUUGACGUUACCCGCAGAAGAAGCACCGGCUAACUCCGUGCCAGCAGCCGCAGUAA
rnacentral:rRNA from 1 species